CCUUGUGCUCCUGGAGCGGCCGAUAUCUGAUUAGCUAGUUGGUGAGGUAAAGGCUCACCAAGGCAACGAUCAGUAGCUGGUCUGAGAGGACGACCAGCCACACUGGAACUGAGACACGGUCCAGACUCCUACGGGAGGCAGCAGUGGGGAAUUUUGGACAAUGGGGGCAACCCUGAUCCAGCAAUGCCGCGUGAGUGAAGAAGGCCUUCGGGUUGUAAAGCUCUUUUGUCAGGGAAGAAAAGGUCGUGGCUAAUAUCCACGACUGCUGACGGUACCUGAAGAAUAAGCACCGGCUAACUACGUGCCAGCAGCCGCGGUAAUACGUAGGGUGCAAGCGUUAAUCGGAAUUACUGGGCGUAAAGCGUGCGCAGGCGGUUUCGUAAGUCUGUCGUGAAAUCCCCGGGCUUAACCUGGGAAUGGCGAUGGAGACUGCGAGGCUAGAGUUUGGCAGAGGGGGGUAGAAUUCCACGUGUAGCAGUGAAAUGCGUAGAGAUGUGGAGGAACACCGAUGGCGAAGGCAGCCCCCUGGGUCAAAACUGACGCUCAUGCACGAAAGCGUGGGGAGCAAACAGGAUUAGAUACCCUGGUAGUCCACGCCCUAAACGAUGUCUACUAGUUGUUGGGUCUUAAUUGACUUAGUAACGCAGCUAACGCGUGAAGUAGACCGCCUGGGGAGUACGGUCGCAAGAUUAAAACUCAAAGGAAUUGACGGGGACCCGCACAAGCGGUGGAUGAUGUGGAUUAAUUCGAUGCAACGCGAAAAACCUUACCUACCCUUGACAUGGCAGGAAUCCCGGAGAGAU
rnacentral:rRNA from 1 species